CGAUCUUUCUAAGACGGGAAAUCAUAGGAUGGUUUUUUAUGCUAUACUUUUUAGUGCUCUUUUUAAUUUUGCACCAGGCACAACGUUACUUUGAGCACCGACGAACCAACAGUCCGUAGUACCACCACAAGAGGAAACAUGUCAACAAUACCAAGUAAAAUUACAUGUGGAGCCUCCUUAAGUAUCUAAAGAAAGGUGUUGAGAAUUCCUCUGGUGUUCGACAUCCUCAAAUUAAGUUAAUGUCAAUUGCUCUACGAUUUUGGAACACGAUAGAAAAUGUUGACAAGGGAAUAUAUCUCUGAAUGUUUAUCAGACUUCAUCACCGAAUUUCCUCAGCCAGUAGAAAAUGCAACAAUUUUUGUAGUGAAUACAGUUACAGAUCAGGCCAUUAUAUCGACCCCAGACAAAACUGUUAUCAUCC